rnacentral:rRNA from 1 species
UACAGAGGGGCAAGCGUUAUUCGGAAUUAUUGGGCGUAAAGGGCGCGUAGGCGGCUUGGCAAGUGGAUGGUGAAAUCCCUCGGCUUAACCGAGGAACUGCCGUCCAAACUGCUUCGGCUUGAGACCGGGAGAGGUGAGUGGAAUUCCCAGUGUAGCGGUGAAAUGCGUAGAUAUUGGGAGGAACACCAGUGGCGAAGGCGGCUCACUGGACCGGUACUGACGCUGAUGCGCGAAAGCGUGGGGAGCAAACGGGG